rnacentral:rRNA from 1 species
GAUGAACGCUGGCGGCGUGCCUAAUACAUGCCAGUCGAGCGAACGGACGAGAAGCUUGCUUUUCUGAUGUUAGCGGCGGACGGGUGAGUAACACGUGGAUAACCUACCUAUAAGACUGGGAUAACUUCGGGAAACCGGAGCUAAUACCGGAUAAUAUUUUGAACCGCAUGGAUCAAAAGUGAAAGACGGUCUUGCUGUCACUUAUAGAUGGAUCCGCGCUGCAUUAGCUAGUUGGUAAGGUAACGGCUUACCAAGGCAACGAUGCAUAGCCGACCUGAGAGGGUGAUCGGCCACACUGGAACUGAGACACGGUCCAGACUCCGACGGGAGGCAGCAGUAGAGAAUCUUCCGCAAUGGAGGAGAGCCUGACGGAGCAACGCCGCGGGAGUGAUGAAGGUCUUCGGAUCGUAAAACUCUGUUAGUAGGGAAGAACAUAUGUGUAAGUAACUGUGCACAUCUUGACGGUACCUAAUCAGAAAGCCGCGGCUAACUACGUG